UUUGACAUGAUGUCCAAGGAAAUAAAUGACAAACAGGAUGCAAGACUGAAUGACUAAGCUUGGAAUCGGUUUGUCAACAUUUUGGAUGUUGUGGUCCCCCCUUGACAGCUUACAAAUGGAACCUGUAGGGUUCUGUUUGGUUUAAUUGCUGUACUAUCAAAGUUACUGACUUUUCAGUUAUUUUUGCUUGAUUUACGAGAAAAAAAGUUCUCAAUCCAAUUUUGUCCCUAAGUAAUUCCACUCUUCUGAGACACUGUUCAUAAUUUGUUAUAUACAGAUUGCAAAGCAGUCUCGUGUUGGGAGGGGCUAAUUUGACGACAUGCAUGUUUCCAAGAAGACCAUAGACAGACUCUACACACAAAUGUCUGACAACGUUCAAUAUGCGUGGUGGUGUGACUUGUGCAAAGAGGGCCCUCAAGAAGACUGCUCUGUUUGCACUGGUAGUCGUUUUUUUUAUAUUCGUAUUUCUAUUCCAGAGUAAUCC